rnacentral:tRNA from 1 species
GGUAGGGUGGCCGAGAAGGUAGUGGGUUGUAGCCCCGAAGACAGAGGUUUGAGUCCUCUUCCUAUCA